CCGAUGCCCCUCAUCGCCCCUCAUCUCUCCCAAAUCGCCGCCACCAACCACCGCGUCACCCUCCUCCUCCCACCUCGCCGCCGGCCCUCCCCUCCCCCCUCCCACAUCACAACACCGGCGGCUACCGGAUCCGCCAUAUCCCCCACCCACCCAUCCCUCUCACAUCCCAUCUCCUCUCUUGACGUAGCUCCUCGUUGCGCCACCUCCGGCGGCUGAUUCAGGCGACGUCCGGCGAAUCCCGCCAUCGCGAAGCACAGCCCAAGGUCCCCUUACAGAGCGGCGCACUCCCAUGCGGCUUGAUCCGGCACUCUCGACCACCAAAGCUCACCCAUGACCUUCCCCUGAUGGCUAGGAUUUCGGGCGCCGGCUCCAGCGCCGGUGGCCAUGUCGUCGUCCUCUCGCCGGUGGAGGUAGUAGCUUGCUAAUGGUGGCUUUCACGUCCAGCUCAAAUACUAGAGGAUAUGGACCUGUUGGGGGAAGCACGUACACCUUUGUUUUAGUGGGCAGGCACUAUCGAGAUUGAGGCAAUCAUCAUAGACGGCUGGAGUUGCGAGUAGAUUUGUCCAAGAUACGACAGUGUUCGUAGUCAUGGUUCUGGUAACUGGCCACAAUCUCCGUUAUAUCUUAACUGUUUCUGAAGAUGGGAAUGCAAAUUUAAAAGAUAUAUGGACGCUUAUAUGGGUGCAUGGCAAGUAUACUGCAAUGAUGAUGAUGAUGUUCUGGUUCACGAUGAUGACGAUGAUGGAUGUUUUUAGGUUUAGUUAUGAUGGCUAAGUUGUAGGGAUGCUAUUCCUGUUGGAUGAUGUUCCUUGGUUAAGUUUUAGUGAAGUUGUAGGGAUGUUGAUGGAUGCUUUCACAUUUGGAAGUUAUUCCUCCUGCAAUAUUAACAAUUGUAAUCCCACAGUUUUUUUUCAAUAUAUGAUUUCUUCCUC